rnacentral:tRNA from 1 species
GCCUUCGUGGUGUAAUGGUCAGCACACUCGGUGCGUAUUCGAGAGGUCCCAGGUUCGAUUCCCGGCGAGGGUA